UGCGUUUUGAUGAGGAUUAUUUUAACUCGCUAAAUUUUCAUGAGCGCAAAGUUUAAACACUCUAAUUUUUUGCUGA
rnacentral:snoRNA from 1 species